CUCUCAGACCCACUCCUGGGAAACAUUCUGCACAAACAGUCCCAUUUCCCAGGUGGGGAGGGUGAGACUGGAGGCGCGCUUGUCUUCAGCACCCUACAUGUCAAGGGCCAGGUUAGGCCCUGUGGGUCUGCAGGGCCAGCCCCUCUACCUCACAACUGCUUCCUCCAGCGUUGAGUGGCACUUCCUCCUGACUCUCAGCCUCUCUGGUUAUUAAUAGCCUCAGAGCACAGAUGCUGGUUAAGUUACAGACCCAGCGCCCACGGUGGGUAACUGACAAGACACACUCUGGAGUCUCCAUCAACUCUUUCACUGCCACCUCGGUACAUUCCUCCUACAAGUGGCCAGAGCAGCCCCUGCUGGCGUCAGGGACAGCCCCAGUGGGGAUGAGUCAGAAGCUGGAGAUACUGUGGAUGCCCUCAGUGAGGCCAGGGCACGCCGGAAGGGGUGAGUGGGCAGAGGCAAGACAAGGACGCCAGACUCCCGCCUGGGCCAGCCCCCUCCGUCAUCCUCAUCACUGACAUCACCUUCCACAUGCCUGCCUCCCUUCUUCUCACCAUGACCUGCCUUCUGGGCACCCACAGGCUGAGUGACCCCAGGACAAGCCCCUCGGCUCCAGGCCCCAGUUCCUCUCUGGCCCAGAGCAGGGGAGUUCCCAGCAGAGAAAACCACCCCAGAUGAGUCAUCAGAGAGCAGAAUCACAUGUAGAGGAGAACAUGAAUUCCAAGCUGCAGCAACUUCUGCCUUCCCAUCCACAGCUGAGAUCCAUUGAAUGCUUGCUGUGUGCCAAGACUUGUGACAGGCACAUGGCACAAAACAUCUCAUUUCAGCCUCUAGUCUACUUUUUAAAAGAGGCAUAAUUGUCUCCAUUUUGCCGAGUAGGAAAUCAAGCCUUUUCCAAAGAGGGCAUUUGCUUCCUCUAGCCUGCUUGGUGAACUCCUAUUCAUCCUGCAAAGCCCACCUCCUUGAUUAUGUGAAUUAACCCUUUCUGUGUCCCUCGGAAACUGAGGUAAGCCUCUUUGCUGCACCCUUCCUGUUGGGUCAUUAUGUACCUCUAGGCAUUUACCCUCAUUAGACUGAGUUUGGGGAGGACAGGACUGGACUUGAUUCCUAUCUGGGUGCCGGGAAGGCAGCUAACACAUUGUAAGUGGUGGUAAGUAUGCGUAGCUUGAUCUGAAUUGUUUGCCGCUGUGCCUAAUCAG